UACGGAGGGGGCUAGCGUUGUUCGGAAUUACUGGGCGUAAAGGGCUCGUAGGCGGCCAACUAAGUCAGACGUGAAAUCCCUCGGCUUAACCGGGGAACUGCAUCUGAUACUGGAUGGCUUGAGAUUGGGAGAGGGAUGCGGAAUUCCAGGUGUAGCGGUGAAAUGCGUAGAUAUCUGGAGGAACACCGGUGGCGAAGGCGGCAUCCUGGACCAACACUGACGCUGAGGAGCGAAAGCCAGGGGAGCAAACGGG
rnacentral:rRNA from 1 species